rnacentral:lncRNA from 1 species
CCGUGGUCUGGAUUGGUGGAGGAGGAAUUGUCGUGUAGCGUAUCUGGGGUGGCGCGAUGGUGGAGAUGCGGCAGAAAAGACAGGAGGCGUCGGGCUCUGCAGCCGGGGUUCGGCGAGGUGAUGAUGGGCGCAAGCCGCGAGGUACUGCAGAAAGGGUAGCAGAGGAGCUUCCAUUGCGAUUGGGGAAAGGGGCGCGAGAAUCCAUCCGGUCGUGGCCGGCGACAAGGCGGAGCGGCGGGCGUUAGAGAAGUUGAGCCACGCGGCGGAGAAGCUCUGAGGCGGGCAUGCUACUCGAGUGCGUCUGUCGCGGGAGAUCUAGGAGAAAGAUUUUGUGGGUCCACCGGUCAGUCUCAGUUGGUCCACUGCUCAGAUUGAAAGAGAUACUUGUGGGAAGACUUAAAAAGGAUCCGGCGGUAUGGGUUUUGGGGUCGGCAGGGUCGGAACGGGGAACCAACGGAGAGGGGUCGGAUCUCAGGGGUCGGAACUAAGGGUGAGCACUCAACUCGGGAAAACUAAGAGGGGGAAAUAGAGACUCGGAGUUGAUUAACUCGAAAGAUUUGGGGUCGGUCGUGACACAAAAGCCUCGAUCUCCCUCCUCGGCAACGGAUGCUCAACCACUGAACUAGUCUUCACGCCGGGCACCAAGCCUAGUUCCCGACUAAACAACGGCCCCACCUCCAAAGACGUCCC